UACGUAGGGCGCAAGCGUUGUCCGGAAUUAUUGGGCGUGAAGAGCUCGUAGGUGGCUUGUCACGUCGGGUGUGAAAGCUUGGGGCUUAACUCCAGGUCUGCAUUCGAUACGGGCUGGCUAGAGGUAGGUAGGGGAGAACGGAAUUCCUGGUGUAGCGGUGAAAUGCGCAGAUAUCAGGAGGAACACCGGUGGCGAAGGCGGUUCUCUGGGCCUUACCUGACGCUGAGGAGCGAAAGCGUGGGGAGCGAACAGG
rnacentral:rRNA from 1 species